rnacentral:rRNA from 1 species
GGAGCUUGCUCCUCGGGUGACGAGUGGCGGACGGGUGAGUAAUGUCUGGGGAUCUGCCCGAUAGAGGGGGAUAACCACUGGAAACGGUGGCUAAUACCGCAUAACGUCGCAAGACCAAAGAGGGGGACCUUCGGGCCUCUCACUAUCGGAUGAACCCAGAUGGGAUUAGCUAGUAGGCGGGGUAACGGCCCACCUAGGCGACGAUCCCUAGCUGGUCUGAGAGGAUGACCAGCCACACUGGAACUGAGACACGGUCCAGACUCCUACGGGAGGCAGCAGUGGGGAAUAUUGCACAAUGGGCGCAAGCCUGAUGCACCCAUGCCGCGUGUAUGAAGAAGGCCUUCGGGUUGUAAAGUACUUUCAGCGGGGAGGAAGGCGAUGUGGUUAAUAACCGCGUUGAUUGACGUUACCCGCAGAAGAAGCACCGGCUAACUCCGUGCCAGCAGCCGCGGUAAUACGGAGGGUGCAAGCGUUAAUCGGAAUUACUGGGCGUAAAGCGCACGCAGGCGGUCUGUUAAGUCAGAUGUGAAAUCCCCGGGCUUAACCUGGGAACUGCAUUUGAAACUGGCAGGCUUGAGUCUCGUAGAGGGGGGUAGAAUUCCAGGUGUAGCGGUGAAAUGCGUAGAGAUCUGGAGGAAUACCGGUGGCGAAGGCGGCCCCCUGGGACGAAAGACUGACGCUCAGGUGCGAAAGCGUGGGGGAGCAAACAGGAUUAUAUACCCUGGUAGUCCACGCCGUAAACGAUG